AAGAGAUCAUAGGUAUCCGAAACUUCGGUGCAGCACCAGCUAUAGUCCAAUUCUCCUGGUGCUACCAUUCCUUGCGAGAAACACUGAGAGGCGCUGGCACGUGAUCAUGGAGCGCUCUUCCACACAUGUUGCUCUCUUGCUGGCUCUCAUCGUAUGCUGUUCCAUGGCAUCCUCGGCCGCGGCAGCCCGAGCUUUUGUGGACGGAAACCGUGAAGGAGAACGUCCUCCCGCGCCUUGGGCCUCAGGCAGGAGGUCAGCGGAGUGUCCAGGAUGUGGAAGCACUUCGUCGCUGCCGGUGACAGCCAGACUUGCGCCACACCGAAAGAACCUGCAGGUUGCUGCGAACGUCGACUUCUAUGCAUGAAUCAAAUGUGGAAGUUUUCGUUGUAUGCAUACAAGUAUCAUGCACAGCCAUAUUGAUGCUCUCGCUAUUGUUGUCCUCUUUUGUAUGCAUAUAUUUAGUUAAUAUAGAAAAUGCCAUUGAAUAA